UGUCGAGCAACUCUGCGCCGAAAAUUAACGGGACUAAGCAUGGAGCCGAAGCUCCAGACUGCACACGAAGAAGUGUGCAUUGGUAGGGGAGCGUUGGACAAGCGAGCGAAGGAGGACGGUAACGACCUCUGGACGUAGUCCAAGUGAUUAUGCCGGGAUGAGUAGCGAUAAAGAAGGUGAGAAUCCUUCUCGCCGUAAGCCUAAGGUUUCCUGGGCAUGGCCAUUCCGCCCAGGGUUAGUCGGUCCCUAAGACGAGGCUGAAAGGCGUAGUCGAUGGGAAGCAGGUCAACAUUCCUGCACCACCGUGAGCGUUGAACGAGGAGUGACGGCGGGUAGAAGUUCGUCCGGCUGUUAGAUGCCGGUUCUUGGUUUGGGUUGGCAGGUAGGUAAAUCCGUCUGCGUAAUAUCCGAACUGAGAGGAGCCCUAGAGGCGAACCGAGUGGAAGUCCGUCCAAGAAAAUCUCCGCGGGAGCAGAGCGGUGACCGUACCAAAUCUGACACAGGAGGGCGAGGCGAAUAGCCUCAGGCGCUCGAGAGAACCAUACGUGAAGGAACUCGGCAAAUUAACCCCGUAAGUUCGCGAUAAGGGGUGCCCCCGCAAGGGGGCCACAGGAAAACGACAGCUACGACUGUUUACUAAAAACACAGGUCUCUGCGAAGUCGUCAAAGACGACGUAUAGGGACUGACGCUUGCCCGCUGUUGGAACGUUAAGGUGACUGGUUAGCCGCAAGGCGAGGCUGGGAGCCGAAGCGCCAAUGAAGGGCGGCCGUAACAAUGACGGUCCUAAGGUAGCGAAAUUCCUUGUCGGGUAAGUUCCGACCCGCACGAAUAGCGUAACGACAGCUGUACUGUCUCCACGAUGGACUCGGCGAAAUUGUAGCUGUGGUGAAGAUGCCACAUACCCGCACCAAGACGGAAAGACCCCGUGAACCUUUACUGUAACCUAAUACUGGCUCUAGGUUCGCCAUGUGUAGCAUAGGUGGGAGACGUUAAAGUCGGGGGCGCCAGCCUCCGAAUAGUCAUCAGUGAAAUACCACUCUUGGCGUACUUGGAGUCUAACCUGCGACCGUUAUCCGGCGUGGGAACAGUGUUAGGCGGGCAGUUUGACUGGGGCGGUCUCCUCCUAAAAGGUAACGGAGGAGUGCAAAGGUACCCUCAAUGCGGUUGGCAAUCGCAUGAAGAGCGUAAAGGUAUAAGGGUGCUUGACUGCGAGACACAUAGGUCGAGCAGGUACGAAAGUAGGUCUUAGUGAUCCGGUGGUCCCGUGUGGAAGGGCCAUCGCUCAUCAGAUAAAAGGUACUCCGGGGAUAACAGGCUGAUCACGCCCAAGAGUCCAUAUCGACGGCGUGGUUUGGCACCUCGAUGUCGGCUCAUCGCAUCCUGGGGC
rnacentral:rRNA from 1 species